rnacentral:rRNA from 1 species
GAUGAACGCUGGCGGCGUGCCUAAUACAUGCAAGUCGAGCGAACAGACGAGGAGCUUGCUCCUCUGACGUUAGCGGCGGACGGGUGAGUAACACGUGGAUAACCUACCUAUAAGACUGGGAUAACUUCGGGAAACCGGAGCUAAUACCGGAUAAUAUAUUGAACCGCAUGGUUCAAUAGUGAAAGACGGUUUUGCUGUCACUUAUAGAUGGAUCCGCGCCGCAUUAGCUAGUUGGUAAGGUAACGGCUUACCAAGGCAACGAUGCGUAGCCGACCUGAGAGGGUGGUCGCCCACACUGGAACUGAGACACGGUCCAGACUCCUACGGGAGGCAGCAGUAGGGAAUCCUCCGCGAUGGGCGAGAGCCUGACGGAGCAACGCCGCGUGAGUGAUGAAGGUCUUCGGAUCGUAAAACUCUGUUAUUAGGGAAGAACAAAUGUGUAAGUAACUAUGCACGUCUUGACGGUACCUAAUCAGAAAGCCACGGCUAACUACGUG